rnacentral:pre_miRNA from 1 species
AGAGGGACAGCUGGGUCAAAUGGUGGUUCCACUUGGUUCCAAGAAAUCUCCAUACUGCUUUCCAUAUUGGCUGCACCAAUUUGCAGUCCCACCAGCAGU